GGGCGGGUGGUGGAAUGGCAGACACGCCGGCCUUAGGAGCCGGUGGGGGCAACCCCAUGUGGGUUCAAGUCCCACCCCGCCCA
rnacentral:tRNA from 1 species